rnacentral:rRNA from 1 species
UACGGGGGGGGCAAGCGUUGUUCGGAAUUACUGGGCGUAAAGGGCGCGUAGGCGGCCGCCCAAGUCAGACGUGAAAUCCCUCGGCUCAACCGGGGAACUGCGUCUGAUACUGGGUGGCUUGAAUCCGGGAGAGGGAUGCGGAAUUCCAGGUGUAGCGGUGAAAUGCGUAGAUAUCUGGAGGAACACCGGUGGCGAAGGCGGCAUCCUGGACCGGCAUUGACGCUGAGGCGCGAAAGCGUGGGGAGCGAACAGG